AACGAACGCUGGCGGCAGGCCUAACACAUGCAAGUCGAACGCACUCUUCGGAGUGAGUGGCAGACGGGUGAGUAACGCGUGGGAAUCUACCUAGUGGUGGGGGAUAACUUCGGGAAACCGGAGCUAAUACCCCAUAAGCCCUUCGGGGGAAAGUUUUUCGCCAUUAGAUGAGCCCGCGUUAGAUUAGCUAGUUGGUAGGGUAAUGGCCUACCAAGGCGACGAUCUAUAGCUGGUCUGAGAGGAUGAUCAGCCACACUGGGACUGAGACACGGCCCAGACUCCUACGGGAGGCAGCAGUGGGGAAUAUUGCACAAUGGGCGCAAGCCUGAUGCAGCCAUGCCGCGUGAGUGAUGAAGGCCUUAGGGUCGUAAAGCUCUUUCGCCUGUGAGAUAAUGACGGUAGCAGGUAAGAAACCCCGGCUAACUCCGU
rnacentral:rRNA from 1 species